rnacentral:rRNA from 1 species
AGCUCCAAGAGCGUAUAUUAAAGUUGUUGCAGUUAAAAAGCUCGUAGUUGGAUUUCUGGUACAAUGCGCCUGGCCCGCCAAGGUUACUUGUGUGAGUGCCGGUGCGCGUUUGCCAUCCUUCUAGAGAACGUUUCUACCCUUCGCUGGGCCGGACUCGCGAUCUAGAUCUUUUACUUUGAAAAAAUUAGAGUGUUUAAAGCAGGCUAUCGCUAUGCAUACAUUAGCAUGGAAUAAUAAUCUAGGACUUCGGUUCUAUUUUGUUGGUUUCUAGUACUGAAGUAAUGAUUGAUAGGGAUAGUUGGGGGUGCUAGUAUUGGCCGGCCAGAGGUGAAAUUCUUGGAUUCGGUCAAGACUACCUUAUGCGAAAGCAUUCACCAAGGAUGUCUUCUUUAAUCAAGAA